GUCAAUAAUAGAGUUGGAAACUUCUACUAUNAAAAAAAGGAAUCAAAUUACUCUAUUCAACUGACAAGAUGAACAUCAUGACAAGCAUUUCAUGCUUUCUACUUGUUGUCUCUUUCCUACCCUGGAGUUCUGGUCAGUUUCCUAGAGUUUGUACAAACCUUGAAAGNUUGAAAACCAAGACAUGUUGUCCAAUUCCAAAGGGUUUUACUGAACCAUGUGGCAGCGAUGAAUACAGAGGAAGCUGUGAGGAACUGAUAAUUCGUGAUUGGAAUUACACCUACAGCCACUUUGAACCCUUCCAGAAGGAUGACGAACGUCACAAUUGGCCGCGAGCUCUGUACGUGAAAGCAUGCAAAUGUAACGGUAACUUUGGUGGUUACGAUUGCAGUAAGUGUGAGUUUGGCUACGGUGGCAGUAGCUGUCAGAAUAUUAAAAUCUUGAAACGGAGAAACUUUCUUAAGCUGUCUGCUGAGGAAAAAGAUCGUUACAUGCGAUAUGUCAACGAGUCUAAAUACUAUAUAAGCGACUAUGUCGUUACUAAAAACUUUUACCACGAAAUCAGUGAAGUAGUGAAAGCGGGUAAAGAUCCCAGUGGGCUCUUUUAUAAUGUUAGCAACUAUGAUCUAUUUACAUGGAUGCAUUAUUACACGGCACGAGACACUAUAUAUCCUCACAAUGUCACGCGGUCUGAUAUAGACUUUGCACAUGAUGGGCAAGGAUUUCUUACUUGGCAUCGACUGUAUUUGCUUGCAUGGGAGCGAACAUUACAGGAAAUUGCGAAGGAUGACGAGUUUGCUCUUCCAUAUUGGGAUUGGACUNAAGAUCCAAACGAUUGCAGUUNCGAAAUCUGCUCUAAGGAUCUACUUGGAGUUACCAACCAGUACUCAGGGGUCGUCGAAGGGAAAUACAUGGACAAAUGGUACGUAAUUUGUACCAGAGAAAUGACANACUUCCUUACAAAGCUUUGUAAUCCUAAAGACAGAAANACUGGCCUUACCAGGAACACAGAAAAUGCCAAAAAGAAAGCGGCCAAGGACCGAGGGUUCGUUAUGACUUACCCAACGAACGAGGAGGUAAACUUUGCACUUCGAUUUGGGUCGUAUGACGUACCUCCUUNUGAUAAACAGUCCAGCUGCAAUUUCAGAAAUAUGGUGGAGGGCUACGUCAGCACCAAAACAGGCUACCACCUUCCAAAUAGAUUCACCUUNCAUAACCAGGUGCACAUUGUUACUGGUGGAGAGAUGGGAGAUGUUCCUUCAGCAUCGAAUGACCCUAUCUUUCCUCUUCAUCACUCAUUCGUGGAUCGUAUAUACGAGAAGUGGCUUCGCAAGUUUAAGAAAACUGCUUCAGUUCUUUCAAAGUUCGACGCACCAAUUGGCCACAACAAAUAUGACGUCAUUGUGCCAUUGUUUCCUGUUUACACUCAUCAGGAAAUGUUCAAGAGAUCUGUUGAUUUCGGCUAUGAUUAUGAAGAUGUUGACGAGAANGGCAAUUCUCAUGAAGACAAGAGAGGUGACGAUUCUUCACUUGGAGAAUGCCCAGUACCUUGUCCUAAAAAAGAGUGACCGGCAAAUGCUUGAUUGGGCUCCUAUAANGCUGACUAUAGCUUUAUGGCAAUCACUUUUGCUGAUUGAGUAGCUGGGAUAGUUCAAAACGGUAUGUUUUCAAGUUUCAAUGAAAAGAGAUA
rnacentral:misc_RNA from 1 species